GUCUGGGGGCUUAGCUGAGUGGUAGAAGUACCUACUUGGCAUGUAUGAGGCCCUGGGUUCAAUCCCCAGCUCGACA
rnacentral:tRNA from 1 species